rnacentral:misc_RNA from 1 species
GAUGAAGAACGCAGCGAAAUGCGAUAAGUAAUGCGAAUUGCAGAAUUCAGUGAGUCAUCGAAUCUUUGAACGCACAUUGCGCCCUGUGGUAUUCCGCAGGGCAUGCCUGUUCGAGCGUCAUUUCAACCCUCAAGCUCUGCUUGGUGUUGGGCCCCACCCGCUCGCGGCCGGCCCUAAAGACAGUGGCGGCAGCGCCUGGCUCCAAGCGUAGUACAGCUCUCGCUCUGGGGCUAGGCGGUAGCCUGCCAGAACCCCCCUUCUAUGGUUGACCUCGGAUCAGGUAGGGAUACCCGCUGAACUUAAGCAUAUCAAUAAGCGGAGGA